GGAAUCUCCCAGUGUGACGUCUCAUUCACACUCAGACAGCUGCCCAGACGAGACAUACCCACCCGAGGGGAUAACAGCCACUAACGUCCUCGGGUUUCCGGUGUGGAGUGGAAAGUGCUGUGCCACGUCCCUAGUGCGUACGCCCGUACGAAAGCGCACUCGUGAGGCCUGUGGUGUGAGGUGUGAGGCAUGAGGCAUGAGGCGAAAGCGAGCUGAAGAGGCCAUAGGUGUGAGGAGAGAUGAUCGAGGAGAUGUAGAAGAAAAGUGAGGAAGCCUGUAGAGAUUUUGCACUUAAUAAAGCAUUUUGCAUGAG